CGCAUCUGUGCAUGCAGCAUAUCAAUAAGCGGAGGAAAAGAAACUAACAAGGAUUCCCUUAGUAACGGCGAGUGAAGCGGGAAGAGCUCAAAUUUGAAAUCUUCAAGGUUUUACCUUGACGAAUUGUAGUUUAAAGAAGUGUUUCUGUUGAAGUUUUGGUAAAAGUUCUUUGGAAUAGGACAUCAUAGAGGGUGAGAAUCCCGUAUUUGACCAUUAUUUUCAGCUGUGUGAUACACUUUCAAAGAGUCGGAUUGUUUGGGAAUGCAGUCCAAAAUGGGUGGUAAAUUUCAUCUAAAGCUAAAUAUUGGCGAGAGACCGAUAGCGAACAAGUACCGUGAGGGAAAGAUGAAAAGAACUUUGAAAAGAGAGUUAAACAGUACGUGAAAUUGUCAAAAGGGAAGCGUUUGACACCAGUGUUGUUUUCUCGAAAAUCAAUUAAAAAGAGUUUGAUUUUGUUGUGUAUUGACCUUAACAGCUUGCAUUUCAAUUUUCUUGCUUUUUUUAAUGCACUUUUCGUUUAACAAGUCAACAUCAGUUUCUUUUGUUGUAAAAAGGUCAUUGGAAGGUGGCUUUCUUUUCGGAGAAAGUGUUUAUAGCCUUUGACUCCUGCAAUCGGAGAGACUGAGGUCUGCAGCGUAGAUCCUUCGGGGUUAGAUACAUUUGUGCUAAGUUAUAGCUUUUUAUAGACAACUUGUUGACUAUGAUUAGUCUUGUAGCUUACUCGCUUAUGCUAUUUUACCUACGCUUAGGAUGUUGACACACGCGCGUGCUCG
rnacentral:rRNA from 1 species